rnacentral:SRP_RNA from 1 species
GCCGAGCUCAGUCACGAGAGCUUGUGACCCAUGUGGGGGCAUCAAGGUGGUGUGGAUGAUUGGUGCGUAUUCUCGGCCUGGGCCUGUGGAGUGACUUUGCCGGCUUGCCCGUUCCAAGUUGGUAGUGGGCUGGGUGGCUGGGGCGAAAGCCUCGGCCUCUCAGGCCCUGAAGCGGCAGGCACCACGUUAGGCUGGUUUCACAGAGCAGCGUUUACUGCCGGAAGGAUAACAGGCCGCUGCACCAUGGGUCCACUCUGGCCUAGGACCCCUCCAUAACAGGCCCCCAUCUUU